AUUGAACGCUGGCGGCAGGCCUAACACAUGCAAGUCGAACGAGUGGCGGACGGGUUAGCAAUGUCUGGGACACUGCCUGAUGGAGGGGGAUAACUACUGGAAACGAUAGCUACUACCGCAUACCAGCGGAUGUGCCCAGAUGGGAUUAGCUAGGAGGGGGGGUAAAGGCUCACCUAGGCGACGAUCCCUAGCUGGUCUGAGAGGAUGACCAGCCACACGGGAACUGAGACACGGUCCAGACUCCUACGGGAGGCAGCAGUGGGGAAUAUUGGACAAUGGGCGCAAGCCUGAUGCAGCCAUGCCGCGUGUGUGAAGAAGGUCUUCGGGUUGUAAAGUACUUUAAGCGUGGAGGCGUUACCCGCAGAAUAAGCACCGGCUAACUCCGUGCCAGCAGCCGCGGUAAUAC
rnacentral:rRNA from 1 species